rnacentral:rRNA from 1 species
AUUGAACGCUGGCGGCAGGCCUAACACAUGCAAGUCGAGCGGUAACAGAAGAGUAGCUUGCUACUUUUGCUGACGAGCGGCGGACGGGUGAGUAAUGCUUGGGGAUCUGCCCGGUCGAGGGGGAUAACCGUUGGAAACGACGGCUAAUACCGCAUACGCCCUACGGGGGAAAGCAGGGGACCUUCGGGCCUUGCGCGAUUGGAUGAACCCAAGUGAGAUUAGCUUGUUGGUGAGGUAACGGCUCACCAAGGCGACGAUCUCUAGCUGGUCUGAGAG